rnacentral:rRNA from 1 species
CCUACGGGCGGCAGCAGUGGGGAAUAUUGGACAAUGGGCGAAAGCCUGAUCCAGCCAUGCCGCGUGUGUGAAGAAGGCCUUCGGGUUGUAAAGCACUUUCAGUGGGGAAGAAAGCCUUGGGGCUAAUACCCUCGAGGAAGGACAUCACCCACAGAAGAAGCACCGGCUAACUCCGUGCCAGCAGCCGCGGUAAUACGGAGGGUGCGAGCGUUAAUCGGAAUUACUGGGCGUAAAGCGCGCGUAGGCGGUCUGAUAAGCCGGUUGUGAAAGCCCCGGGCUCAACCUGGGAACGGCAUCCGGAACUGUCAGGCUAGAGUGCAGGAGAGGAAGGUAGAAUUCCAGGUGUAGCGGUGAAAUGCGUAGAGAUCGGGAGGAAUACCAGUGGCGAAGGCGGCCUUCUGGACUGACACUGACGCUGAGGUGCGAAAGCGUGGGUAGCAAACAGGAUUAGAUACCCCGGUAGUC